UCAGUGCUCAGUGCUAAUAUGCACAAAAAAUGUAUUUAUGGUAAUGACACGGACUGUCUGAAACAAUGCAUUCCAACAUCCUGUAACAUAAAUAACAAAGGUGGAGCCAGCUGGCAUUCAACUGUUUAUUUGCCAGCAGUCCCAAUCUGCACUAUAUACCUUUUUUACACUGUCUCAGUCUGGCAGUAUUGAACCUGUUGCUGCAUUAGCCGAGUUGUAUUUUGCUAGAUAGGGGAAGGAGGGUUGUCUGCUGUCUGGUAGGAGGGCUUUGUCUGUGUGUGCCUUUCUCUCUCUCUCUCCCUCUCUCUCUCUCUGUGUCUCUCAUACUCCCGCUUGCUCUCCCUCUGGCUCUCUCUCUCUCCCUCGCUCUCUCUCCCUUUCCCGUCUCUGUGGUUUGUAAGGUAGGUUGCAGUGUGUGUAUAUACACAACAUCAAGAGCAGGAAAAUGGACUCAUUAGGGAGGCAGGCAGUCAUUACCACUCACACUGUACUUCCAGGGAGACAGCGACUAUGAGGAGACAAACUGAGGACUGGGGAACAAGCAGCAUAAAAACGAAGUGUUAGGAGCUGCUCUUAACCCUUUUGGAGUCCGAAGUCGAAAGGGAACUAGAGGGCUUGAGACCUCUUUUACAUCCUGCAUUGGCUCUGACCACAGUCCUUCCCUGCUCUCACAAGUGGAGCUCAGCCCUGCUUUCCUUCCUGUUGAUUCCCAGUCAGCUACAUGACUGCCUGAAGUUACAUUUUAGAUGCUGAAAUCACUGCACCUUAAAAACAAAAAGAUUAAGCUGCACUGCAUUCCUCUUCUGCUGUGUCAUGGUCAUUUCCAAAUUGGUGGAGCCCAGCAAGUUCAUGUGAAACAGAGGAGCCUGUAGGCGGAAAAUAAAGAUCCUUGAGAUCAAUUUGCGGUCUUCUCCUGAAGGUACCUCUCCAGUCUCUCAUAUGAGAAAACUGAGGCACAGAGCUUUGGAGUGACUUGUCUUAAAUUCACACGGCAAGUCAGUGGCAGAGCCAGGAAGACAACUCGGGAAUCCUGGAUCCCAGUCCUGUGCUCUAACCACUCGGCCAUACCACGGCUCCAGAUGUAAGUUA